GUAGUCCACGCCGUAAACGUUGGGCGCUAGGUGUGGGGAACCUUCCACGUUCUCCGUGCCGCAGCUAACGCAUUAAGCGCCCCGCCUGGGGAGUACGGCCGCAAGGCUAAAACUCAAAGGAAUUGACGGGGGCCCGCACAAGCGGCGGAGCAUGUGGCUUAAUUCGACGCAACGCGAAGAACCUUACCAAGGCUUGACAUACACCGGAAACUGCCAGAGAUGGUGGCCCCGCAAGGUCGGUGUACAGGUGGUGCAUGGUUGUCGUCAGCUCGUGUCGUGAGAUGUUGGGUUAAGUCCCGCAACGAGCGCAACCCUCGUCCUAUGUUGCCAGCGAGUAAUGUCGGGGACUCAUAGGAGACUGCCGGGGUCAACUCGGA
rnacentral:rRNA from 1 species